GAUGAACGCUGGCGGCGUGCCUAAUACAUGCAAGUCGAGCGAACGGACGAGAAGCUUGCUUCUCUGAUGUUAGCGGCGGACGGGUGAGUAACACGUGGAUAACCUACCAAUAAGACUGGGAUAACUUCGGGAAACCGUAGCUAAUACCGGAUAAUAUUUUGAACCGCAUGGUUCAAAAGUGAAAGACGGUCUUGCUGUCACUUAUAGAUGGAUCCGCGCUGCAUUAGCUAGUUGGUAAGGUAACGGCGUACCAAGGCAACGAUGCAUAGCCGACCUGAGAGGGUGAUCGGCCACACUGGAACUGAGACACGGUCCAGACUCCUACGGGAGGCAGCAGUAGGGAAUCUUCCGCAAUGGGCGAAAGCCUGACGGAGCAACGCCGCGUGAGUGAUGAAGGUCUUCGGAUCGUAAAACUCUGUUAUUAGGGAAGAACAUAUGUGUAAGUAACUGUGCACAUCUUGACGGUACCUAAUCAGAAAGCCACGGCUAACUACGUG
rnacentral:rRNA from 1 species